rnacentral:rRNA from 1 species
AGAGUUUGAUCCUGGCUCAGGACGAACGCUGGCGGCGUGCUUAACACAUGCAAGUCGUACGAGGUUUUCCGAGGUGCUUGCACUUUGGAAGCCUAGUGGCGAACGGGUGCGUAACACGUGAGCAACCUGUCUUACGGUGGGGGAUAGCCGGCCCAACGGCCGGGUAAUACCGCGUAAUGCGGCGAAACAUAUGUUUCGUCGUGAAAGCGGCCGCAAGGUCGCGCCGGAGGAGGGGCUCGCGGCCUAUCAGCUUGUUGGUGGGGUAACGGCCUACCAAGGCUACGACGGGUAGCUGGUCUGAGAGGAUGAUCAGCCACAUUGGGACUGAGAUACGGCCCAGACUCCUACGGGAGGCAGCAGUGGGGAAUAUUGCGCAAUGGCCGCAAGGCUGACGCAGCGACGCCGCGUGUGGGAUGAAAGCCUUCGGGUUGUAAACCACUGUCGGGAGGGACGAAUACCUGGCUUCGAAUAGUUGACCAGGGGUGACGGUACCUCUAAAGGAAGCACCGGCUAACUCCGUGCCAGCAGCCGCGGUAAUACGGAGGGUGCGAGCGUUGUCCGGAAUCACUGGGCGUAAAGAGCGCGUAGGCGGCCGUUUAAGUCAUUUGUGAAAUGCCGGGGCUCAACUCCGGAACUGCACGUGAUACUG